CAAUAGCGUAUAUUAACGUUGUUGCAGUUAAAAAGCUCGUAGUUGGAUUUCUAGAGGGAGCGUCGGCCCGUAUUUACGAGUGCGUGACGUCUCUGUCCAUCCUUGCGGGAAGGCACGGCAUUGAUUUGUUGUGUCGGAUCGCAUCAUUUACUGUGAAAAAAUUAGAGUGUUCAAAGCAGGCUUUCGCUUGAAUACAUUAGCAUGGAAUAAUAAGAUAGGACUUUGGUGCUAUUUUGUUGGUUGAGCCUAAAGUAAUGAUUAAUAGGGAUAGUUGGGGGCACCUGUAUUGCGUUGUCAGAGGUGAAAUUCUUGGAUUUACGCAAGACAAACAGCUGCGAAAGCGUCUGCCAAGGAUGUUUUCAUUAA
rnacentral:rRNA from 1 species